rnacentral:rRNA from 1 species
AGCAGCCGCGGUAAUUCCAGCUCCAAUAGCGUAUAUUAAAGUUGUUGCAGUUAAAAAAGCUCGUAGUUGAAUUUCGGGAUCAAUACGUCGGUCGUACCUCGGUACGUACUGACGUCAUUGAUUUCUCCCUUCUGACGAACCAUGAUGCCAUUAACUUGGUGUUAUGGGAAAUCAGGACUGUUACUUUGAAAAAAUUAGAGUGUUUAAAGCAGGCUCACGCUUGAAUACAUUAGCAUGGAAUAAUGAAAUAGGACGUUCGAUCCUAUUUUGUUGGUUUUUAGGAUCAACGUAAUGAUUAAUAGGGAUAGUUGGGGGCAUUAGUAUUCAAUUGUCAGAGGUGAAAUUCUUGGAUUUAUUGAAGACUAACUACUGCGAAAGCAUUUGCCAAAGGAUGUUUUCAUUAAUCAAGAACGAAAGUUAGGGGAUCGAAGACGAUCAGAUACCGUCGUAGUCUUAACCAUAAACUAUGCCGACUAGGGAUCGGAUGAUGUUAAUUAUUUUAAUGUACUCUAUUCGGCGU